GUGUGUGUGUGUGUGUUUACUUUCAAGUUAACACUCAUUCAGUUCCUACAAAACAGGUAAUGUUUUGAUAUGCUAAAUCUGUCACAUAUGAGUGUGCAUACAACUAGCACAUGUUAAGUACACAUAUUGUGCAGAAAUUGAAGGUAGUAUUUAUAACAGGGAUCUGAGGUCAUUAUAAGGAAUUUAAAAAACAAACAAAAAGAACCACACUCUCAUAAAUGUUCAACAACAAUCCAUAAGCAUCCCUUAUUAGCAUUUAAAUAGGAAAUGUUAUACUUUCAGCAUGUUUUAAGGGGCUAAAUUAAUAAGUCAUUGCUGUGGUUUACUUCCAAAUUUGAACUUCACCCAAGUUUACAAAGUCAUUAUUUCAAACUUAUAGUUUUAUUGUUGGAAAGCUUUGUUUCUUCAGGGGAGGGACAUAUUUUUAUUCCCUAGGUAUGGAUUAUAUCAUCACAAAGAGCUAGGUAGUUCUGAUCACAAUAUUUGUUUUACAAAACUGCAGAGAGGAAGGCUUUGGAAAACACUAAUGGUUUCCGGUUCGUUAGCACCUCUGAAUUCUUGAGCCACCCUGUCUGUCUCCACCAUUGCAGAAGUAUCAAGUCAUAUAAUAAAGCCACCAUCAGUGCUGUGCUACCUGGGUAGUCGUGCAGAAAAUGUAUUUUUAUGUUUUCCUUAAGAAAAAGUGCUUGCUGAGCCUGAGAGAAAUGGAGCUGUGCAUUCCUGGAAAAACCUUUGUGGGAAACAAAAACUAAUUAGAGCAGUAAAUGUGGUGCUCACAGGUAAUUGUAAAAUAAUUAUUCCCCUUUAGCAUCAUCACUGUUUAAUUGUGCUAUCCAAUAUCUUCCUGCUCUGAAUCCAGAUGUGAAGGGAGAGCAGCCUCCUCCUCCUCCUGGGAAUGUCUUUUUCAUUUAGUGUGAGCCGCACACUCCUCCUAAAGGACUUGUAAAAGACGGAGGAGAACAUUUAGGGAGGGUUUGAACAGCUCUUCUCUUCCCGUUUGUCCUCAAUCAUGACAGAAAGUGAUUACUCCAACUAUUUCUAUAGAAAUAUGAUUCCACUUAUGUGGCUGAAAUGCCUUCUGUGAGCAUGUGGGAGAUUUACACGUUUUUUAGUGCUAACCCAGAGGUUUAUGAACAUUCUCUUUUAUGAACUGCAGAUUGUAUAUUACACUCCAUGUUCUUCAGAUUAAGAGAGUCCUAUUUUCAGAUCAACUGACAAUUUAGAAUGUGAUGAUAAUAAAUAUGUAAUCCCUUGGCUUUCAGAAUGGUGUAUGAGUACACAUUCAGAUUUGGGUUUAAUUUUAAUUAUUUCAGUUAACGAAGGUCUCAGCAAACUCGGUAGAAAAGAUUACAUACAGCUUUGUUCUAAAAACACAGAUUUAGACUCUGUUUAGAAUAAAUUAUAACACAUCAUUUCAGUUGAUUCUGUACUGUUCUUUCAUUCUUAUGUAGCUUUAAGGUCAGAUUAGUUGAAAUAAUUUGUACUUCCUUUAGGUCAGCAUCAGGGUGGGAGGCGCCAUCUGGGUGACCAGGUGACCCAGGUUCCUUUUUGAAUAACAAUGCUUUUAAAAUGAGCUAUGUGUAGUGGUUUGAUUUUAAGUGUCAUUAGUUACAGAAGUGUGUCUCUUCAGUGACAUGGACUCUCUCUCUCUCUCUCUGACGUAACCCUGGAAACCAUGGUUCCCUACUCUAAGAGCUACGUUUUCUGAUAUCUAUUUUUAGGCUUAUUUAGGACUGAAAAUUUUCACAGUGAAUUUUACAUAGUAUUCAGAAUGCAGUUAACUUUAGCCAAUUUAUUUGACAUAACUUCAGACAGUUUAAAACUUUUUUUUACUAUAUAGUAUAGUCCUUUGUAUUUUAAUUUUCUAUGCUAAGUCCAACAUCCUAUGAUUUUUUUUUUACCCUAAAAGACUUAACUUUAAUGCUUUAACUUGAGUUCAUUAAGUUUUAAAGUAAUCUUUUCCACCCUCUCCCUAUGAAAUUUUUGUUUUUCCUUAUCUCCUUCUGUAGCAACAAAGUUAGGCCUUAGUUUUCUGAUAUAAAGAGACUAAGUUGAUUCUGAGGGCUAAAAGAGGCAAAAACUUUAUCUGCUUGGCAGUGGUCAGUAGGUAUAAAGUGAGUAUGUGUGUGCAAAUGUAUAUUUAUAAGAUUCCAUUUUAUUGAUCAGAAUACUUCACUUCCUUGAGAUAUCGUCCAUUGUGACAAAACAUACUUUUGCUUAUAGGUUAUUACCUUUAUAACUGGAUUUUAUGUUUAAGGAGUAUUUCACACAUUGACCAACCAUACACUACAAAUUAUGAUUACUGCUAUCCAAAGGUCUCAGAAUUGUCUUAACCUUUGGCCUAGACCACUCUCUUAGUGGGUAAAUAGCUGGGCCCUCACCAGUGCAGUGACUUCUUUACCCCUUAGUGGGCGGGCUUCAGUGCUGGAGCUCCAGCUGCCCCACACAAGAUCUGCAUUUGCAUAGACUGGGCAAAGACUCCUCACAGAAGAGUCAUGGCAAUAAGCCUGUCUCUUUUCUUUCCAUGUCUUUAGAUCUGAUGCUGGCCCGACUGCAUCCCUUGCAUUGUACUUCUUUGGUGCCGGCAUUAUUUUAUGCGCACUAUAUAUAUAUCAUCAGCCACAGCUUGUAGUUGAUGCUGAAUGCAGUUCGACUGUUGUGAUAGGAAUCCAGCACUUAAGCUGAGCAUUUGACAAAAAUGAGCAUUACAAGAGAUUGAUGAGUCUACGAGCUCCUAAGAACUCAUUAGUGUAAGCAGAGUUAAACACACAUGCAGAACCUCCGCUCAUUUGUCUUUUUGGAGCUGAAGUAAGGCACUGGGCGUUAGACAACCAAGCGUGCACUGGGCUGCAGACUGAUGUUUAAGUUUGUCCUUGAAAAAUUGUUUGUUGUUGUUUUUGUUUUUGUGACAGGGCUAUACUGAGAAACUCUGUCUCGAAAAACC
rnacentral:lncRNA from 1 species